CCACGCCGUAAACGAUGAGUGCUAGGUGUUGGGGGGAACCUCAGUGCCGCAGCAAACGCAAUAAGCACUCCGCCUGGGGAGUACGUGCGCAAGCAUGAAACUCAAAGGAAUUGACGGGGACCCGCACAAGCAGCGGAGCAUGUGGUUUAAUUCGAAGCAACGCGAAGAACCUUACCAGGGCUUGACAUAUAUGGGAAGCCAUUAGAGAUAGUGGCGCUCCUUCGGGAGCCGAUAUACAGGUGGUGCAUGGUUGU
rnacentral:rRNA from 1 species